UGUUAUGGCGGGUUGCGCAAGGAUCCCUUCGGGGAUGCCGGGUUCCUUUCGUUCCGGUCCGCCAACCUUGUGUAAUCCGUCACCCUA
rfam:Pseudomonas fluorescens F113, complete genome.